GACGAACGCUGGCGGCGUGCCUAAUACAUGCAAGUAGAACGCUGAAGGAGGAGCUUGCUUCUCUGGAUGAGUUGCGAACGGGUGAGUAACGCGUAGGUAACCUGCCUGGUAGCGGGGGAUAACUAUUGGAAACGAUAGCUAAUACCGCAUAAGAGUAGAUGUUGCAUGACAUUUACUUAAAAGGUGCAAUUGCAUCACUACCAGAUAGACCUGCGUUGUAUUAGCUAGUUGGUGAGGUAACGGCUCACCAAGGCAACGAUACAUAGCCGACCUGAGAGGGUGAGCGGCCACACUGGGAAUGAGACACGGCCCAGACUCCUACGGGAGGCAGCAGUAGGGAAUCUUCGGCAAUGGACGGAAGUCUGACCGGGAGACGCCGCGUGAGUGAAGAAGGUUUUCGGAUCGUAAAGCUCUGUUGUAAGAGAAGAACGAGUGUGAGAGUGGAAAGUUCACAAUGUGACGGUAUCUUACCAGAAAGGGACGGCUAACUACGUG
rnacentral:rRNA from 1 species